rnacentral:misc_RNA from 1 species
GUAUUUGAUCAUGUUUUAAGGCAACAUGAACAUUCUAUGACACAUUCAGAGUAUAUGAUGAAUACAUAAGCCUGAAGGCCUAUGGUGGGUUCACAGGUGUGUUGUGGAUUUAAGAGCUCAGGUGUGCACACGCCUCAAAAGAGAGGCCAGCAACAACCCUCGCUUAUAAUUCAAUAAUGAUCCCUCUGCAGGUUCACCUACGGAAA